GGGAGGGAGAGAGGGAGGGGACAGAGAGAGAGAGAGAGAGAGAGAAAAAAAAGAAAGAAAAAUAAUGAAGAUAUAAGCAGAGAGAGAGAAAAAAAAUAAAGAAAAAAAGAAUGUAGAUGUAACCAGAGAGAAAGAGAGAGAGUGAGAGUGAGAGAAAGAGAGAGAGAUUGUUUUAAGUUCAUAUCCUGAUUUAAAGGUACCGCCAAAUAAGGUGUCUCGAUAAUUGUGAUAACGCCUCUGGUUUUAAUUUUACCGAUAGAAUUUUAAUGUGUCUAAAAAGAAAGGUUCCGUUAGGCUUUCUCCGUGAACCCCAAAACAUGUCUAAGCUAACUCAUGUCUUGGUUCCAAUAUCAGAUUAUCAUGUCUAGAAAAAUGUUCCGUAAGGCUUUUCCGAGACCACCAAAACAUGUCUUAAGCUAACUCAUGUCUCAGUUCCAAUAUCAGGUUAUCAUGUCUAGUAAAAGGUUCCAUAAGGCUUUUCUGAGACCACCAAAACAUGUCAAAGCUAACUCAUGUCUCGGUUCCAAUAUCAGAUUAUCAUGUCUAGAAAAAUGUUCCGUAAGGCUUCUCUGAGACCACCAAAACAUGUCUAAGCUAACUCAUGUCUCGGUUCCAAUAUCAGGUUAUCAUGUCUAGAAAAAUGUUCCGUAAGGCUUUUCCAAGACCACCAAAACAUGUCUAAGCUAACUCAUGUCUCGGUUCCAAUAUCAGAUUAUCAUGUCUUGAAAAAUGUUCCGUAAGGCUUUUCCGAGACCACCAAAACAUGUCUAAGCUAACUCAUGUCUUGGUUCCAAUAUCAGAUUAUCAUGUCUAGAAAAAUGUUCCGUAAGGCUUUUCCGUGACCACCAAAACAUGUCUAAGCUAACUCAUGUCUCGGUUCCAAUAUCAGAUUAUCAUGUCUUGAAAAAUGUUCCGUAAGGCUUUUCCGAGACCGCCAAAACAUGUCUAAGCUAACUCAUGUCUUGGUUCCAGUAUCAGGUUAUCAUGUCUAGAAAAAUAUUCCGUAAGGCUUUUCCAAGACCACCAAAACAUGUCUAAGCUAACUCAUGUCUUGGUUCCAGUAUCAGAUUAUCAUGUCUUGAAAAAUGUUCCAUAAGGCUUUUCUGAGACCACCAAAACAUGUCUAAGCUAACUCAUGUCUCAGUUCCAGUAUCAGGUUAUGUCUAGAAAAAUGUUCCGUAAGGCUUUUCCGAGACCACCAAAACAUGUCUAAGCUAACUCAUGUCUCAGUUCCAGUAUCAGGUUAUCAUGUCUAGAAAAAUGUUUCGUAAGGCUUUUCCGAGACCACCAAAACAUGUCUAAGCUAACUCAUGUCUCAGUUCCAGUAUCAGAUUAUCAUGUCUAGAAAAAUGUUCCGUAAGGCUUCUCUGAGACCACCAAAACAUGUCUAAGCUAACUCAUGUCUCGCUUCCAAUAUCAGAUUAUCAUGUCUAGAAAAAUGUUCCGUAAGGCUUUUCCAAGACCACCAAAACAUGUCUAAGCUAACUCAUGUCUUGGUUCCAAUAUCAGGUUAUCAUGUCUAGUAAAAUGUUCCAUAAGGCUUCUCCGAGACCACCAAAACAUGUCUAAGCUAACUCAUGUCUUGGUUCCAGUAUCAGGUUAUCAUGUCUAGAAAAAUGUUCUGUAAGGCUUUUCUGAGACCACCAAAACAUGUCUAAGCUAACUCAUGUCUCGGUUCCAAUAUCAGAUUAUCAUGUCUAGAAAAAUGUUCCGUAAGGCUUUUCUGUGAACCCCAAAACAUGUCUAAGCUAACUCAUGUCUCGGUUCCAGUAUCAGGUUAUCAUGUCUAGAAAAAUGUUCCGUAAGGCUUUUCCGAGACCACCAAAACAUGUCUAAGCUAACUCAUGUCUCGGUUCCAAUAUCAGAUUAUCAUGUCUAGAAAAAUGUUCCGUAAGGCUUUUCUGAGACCACCAAAACAUGUCUAAGCUAACUCAUGUCUCAGUUCCAAUAUCAGGUUAUCAUGUCUAGUAAAAGGUUCCAUAAGGCUUUUCCGAGACCACCAAAACAUGUCUAAGCUAACUCAUGUCUUGGUUCCAGUAUCAGAUUAUCAUGUCUUGAAAAAUAUUCCGUUAGGCAUUUUCCGUGACCGCCAAAACAUGUCUUAGCUAACUCAUGUCUCGGUUUCAGGUCGGUAUUAUAAGACUCUUUCGCUUCUCACAUCUAUUUCUAAAGGUCAAAGAGGGGGUCAGUCAGGUUCUAAUGAGUGUUUCUUCAGGUUCAUGGUACAGAGGAAGGGUCAGACUACCACCAGGGUCAUAAAACUACUCCUGGAAAUGCCCACAACUCCUACGAAAGUCUUGUCAAAUAUGUGUUUCCUAGGUUCAUGGUACAGAAGAAGGGUCACACUACCACCAGGGUCAUAAAACUACUCCUGGAAAUGCCCACAACUCCUACGAAAGUCUUGUCAAAUAUGUGUUUCCUAGGUUCAUGGUACAGAGGAAGGGUCACACUACCACCAGGGUCAUAAAACUACCCCUGGAAAUCCCCACAACUCCUACGAAAGCCUUGUCAAAUAUGUGUUUCCUAGGUUCAUGGUACAGAAGAAGGGUCAUAAAACUACCCCU